GCCUUUUAUUUAAGCCUCUCUCUCUCUCUUUCUGUGCACUGUUCUAGUGUUCUCUGAACGCGCACAAAAAAAAAGAAAAAAAAUCCUGAAAACGGCAUUAGAAAAAGCAGAAGCUCCGUGCGUCACUGCACCGCAUAUAAAAUCAAAGCCCAUAUUUUUCAUUUUCUCCACUCACUAGAAACAGACUACUCUCUCUCUCUCUCUCUCUA
rnacentral:misc_RNA from 1 species